GGUGAACGCUAGUAGUAUGCUUAACACAUGCGAGUCGAACGGAGAUCUUCCGUGGCGAACGGGUGAGUAACACAUAGGAAUCUGCCUUUUAGUCUGGGAAAAAAUCCCGGAUAGCAAAAAAGAAGGAUCUUCGCUAAAAGAUGAGCCUAUGGAGGAUUAGGUAGUUGGUAUUUGGGUAAUGGCCUACCAAGCCUGUGAUCCUUAGCUGUUCUGAGAGGUUGAUCAGCCACACUGGGACUGAGACAAGGCCCAGGCUUCCCAUGAAGCCAGCAGUGAGGAAUCUUGGACAAUGAGCGCAAGCUUGAUCCAGCAAUACUACAUGAGUGAUGACAGCUUUUAGGUUGUAAAGCUCUUUGGUCGGAGAGGAAAAUGACAGUAUCCGGCGGAAUAGCCCCGGCUAACUUCGUGCCAGCAGCCGCGGUAAGACGAAGGGGGCGAGCGUUAUCCGGAAUGACUGGGCGUAAAGGGUCCGUAGACGGUCUUUUUUGUGAAGGGUUAAAUCUGGGAGCCCAACUCCCAGCCUCCCUUCAGACGUGAAGACUCGGAGUAGGAGAGGAGAUAGCAGAAUUUCACAUGGAGGGGUGAUAUCCGUAGAGAUGUGAAGGAAUCCCAGCGGCGAAGGCGGCUAUCUAGCUCAGUACUGACGUUGAGGGACGAAAGCAUGGGGAGCAAACAGGAUUAGAUACCCUGGUAGUCCAUGCCCUAAAAGAUGAGUGCUCGUGCUUAGAGUUUUUUAGGCACUUAGUGAACACCUUAAGCACUCCGCCUGGGGAGUACGACCGCAAGGUUGGAACUCAAAGGAAUUGACGGGGGCCUAUACAAGUGGUGGAGCAUGUGGUUUAAUGCGAGAAUACGCGCGGAACCUUACCAGCUUUUGCAUGACGGACGAACCCUCUUUCGUGAGGGGGUCGGGUCCACACAGGUGCUGCAUGGCUGUCGUCAGCUCGUGUCGUGAGAUGUUAGGUUAACUCCUUUUAACGGGCGAAACCCCUUUUCUUUGUUGCGACUUCCUCCGCGAGGAGGGAGGCACUCUAAGAAGACGGCUUCUUUUUUUGGAUUGGAAGAGGAAGGUGGGGAUGACGUCAAGUCUUUAUGGCCCUUAUGAGCUGGGCUACACACGUGCUACAAUGGCAAUGACAGGAAGAAGCAAGAGGGUAACCUGGAGCCAAUCUUAAAAAAUUGCCGCUGUUCGGAUUGAGGGCUGAAACCCGCCCUCAUGAAGGUGGAAUCACUAGUAAUCGCGAAUCAGAACGUCGCGGUGAAUUUGUACCUAGGCCUUGUACACACCGCCCGUCACGUGCCGGGAAUUGGCUUGGCUAGAAGGUUGUUUCUUAACCCUUUUAGGA
rnacentral:rRNA from 1 species